CAGGCCUAACACAUGCAAGUCGAGCGGUAACAGAUCCAGCUUGCUGGAUGCUGACGAGCGGCGGACGGGUGAGUAACGCAUAGGAAUUUACCCGAUAGUGGGGGAUAACCUGGGGAAACUCAGGCUAAUACCGCAUACGUCCUACGGGAGAAAGGGGGCUCCGGCUCCCGCUAUCGGAUGAGCCUAUGCCGGAUUAGCUGGUUGGUGAGGUAAUGGCUCACCAAGGCGACGAUCCGUAGCUGGUCUGAGAGGAUGAUCAGCCACAUCGGGACUGAGACACGGCCCGAACUCCUACGGGAGGCAGCAGUGGGGAAUAUUGGACAAUGGGGGCAACCCUGAUCCAGCCAUGCCGCGUGUGUGAAGAAGGCCCUCGGGUUGUAAAGCACUUUCAGCGAGGAAGAACGCCUGGCGGUUAAUACCCGCCAGGAAAGACAUCACUCGCAGAAGAAGCACCGGCUAACUCCGUGCCAGCAGCCGCGGUAAUACGGAGGGUGCAAGCGUUAAUCGGAAUUACUGGGCGUAAAGCGCGCGUAGGUGGCUUGAUAAGCCGGUUGUGAAAGCCUCCGGCUCAACCUGGGAACGGCAUCCGGAACUGUCAGGCUAGAGUGCAGGAGAGGAAGGUGGAAUUCCCGGUGUAGCGGUGAAAUGCGUAGAGAUCGGGAGGAAUACCAGUGGCGAAGGCGGCCUUCUGGACUGACACUGACACUGAGGUGCGAAAGCGUGGGUAGCAAACAGGAUUAGAUACCCUGGUAGUCCACGCCGUAAACGAUGUCGACCAGCCGUUGGGUGCCUAGCGCACUUUGUGGCGAAGUU
rnacentral:rRNA from 1 species